AUAAACUCACAUUUAUUCUUCCUUUUUGGGCCUAUAUAAACCCUUUCACUCUCUUCAUUUCUUCACACAUCUCAAAACUGUUCUUUGUUCCAUAUACAGGAAACAAGGGAUAGCCUUCUCCCAUACUACCUAUACUAUACAUGAAAUGAGGGUUACCUGAAAACUACAGUUCUUCAAGGAGACAUCAAGUCUCAUUGUCUUUUAUAAAGAUUAAUUAAGGGUAAGGGCGGUGACAGAAGAGAGUGAGCACACAUGGUGGUUUUCUUGCAUGAUGAUGGUUCAUGCUUGAAGCUAUGCGUGCUCACCCUCUAUCUGUCACCCCACCACCAUCUCUCUUUCCUUCUCAUCUUCUUCUAUUAUCAGUUUUUAACAUAGUCGUCUUGAUGUCAAGAUCUGGUUUACAUGAAUUCAGUCUUUGUCGUUUCGAUUCAGUCUUUUUGUUUUUCCUUUUUAAUGAAAACACUAACCCUAGCUUUCAAAUUGGGGAUUCAGUACAGAAAACCAAUAAUACAUCAAAUCUCAUUCAUAAAUUUUCCAGGUAUAUACCAAUAAUACAUCAAAUUUCAUUCAAAAUUUCGAAGAGAGUUGUUUUUAGAUUGUUCUUGAAUGGAUUCUUCUUGGUUGUUUCUUAGCAUGCUAUCCAACAGUUACUUCAUCAAAAUCAUAUUAAUUUAUAUUUAGUCAAUGAAUUUUGAUUUUAUAUACUCAGUCAACCUACUAGUACUAGUUUUAGUACUACUAAUUAAUUUAAAUUAUCUAGAAAAACCUAUAGUUUGUCUUUGAUUCAUACUGCCAAGAAACAUGGUUUGUUUUAUUAGUUUAUUUUAUUGUUUGGAAGUGCAUGUACACCACCCAUCUAGAGAUAAGAGAGUAACCAGUUGGAUCAUUUGUCGGUUAUGAAAAAACCUUAUCUUUAGGGCUUUGAGUUUUCACUCUUAAAGAACAAAAUUCUUCAACAAAUUAAACCAUUUUACUGACAGGAAAAAAAGUUAUAAUUUUAUGUUUAAUUUCUUCUUCUUUUUUGAUAAAAACAAUUUAGGGUGUGGAGAACUCCUAAGAUUUCAAGGAUAUGGCGGCGGAAUUCGAAUCUGAAACAUCGAGAUCGUCUAGAUCUAAGAUCUGUCUAUGUACUAGUUACUACUUACUACUAGUUCAAACUUUUUCUGUUAUUUUAUGUUUAAUUUCAUGUGUAGGAGAUAGAAACUAUGGAUAUUGUCAAUUUUUUUAUGUUUAUUAUUAUUAUUAUUUAUUUUUUUGUCUUGCUUAUGCCAUGAAGAAAUUUAAAAGGAUUAGAUCCAUAUGACAGAUGUUCUUCAAAUCAAGUUGGCAUUAUGAGACAGGAAGCAAGUGUGUAGGGUUUCUUUAUUUUUAUUGAGAAUGAUAGUGAAAGAAAAUGGACAAAUAUCAUAGUGAUUUUGAUGUGUAUUGUCAAUUUUGUUUCUCUCUUGUUAUACUGUUGCUUUCAUUUUUUACUUUCAUCAAAUUAAUUUAAUGCAUGUAAGAUUAUUAGUUUUGAAUUGAAGUGUUUUUAUUCUGGAUCUUCGAAAAAAAUUAAUAAAUGAUGAUUUUCUAUUAAAAAAAAUCUCAAACAUGCACAAUCUUUAUGUUCUUUAGGUGUAGCCUUGAAAUUAAAAGAUUUAACAGAACUAAGAAGACAGCAAAAGCAACAUGUGUUGCAGUCUGAUCUUGCAUAUAUGUCAUGAUAUUUUAUGUAUGAAUAAAACUAUUUUUAAAGCAACAAUUUUUUAGACAUGUUCAAAACUAUUUUUUCAUGCUUUGUAUGAAUAAAUAAGCAUAAAUUGUUUUAAAGUUAAUUUCCAUUUGGCCCAAGUAAAUAUGAAAGUUUAUUGAUUUCAUUUUUUAUAUGAUGUUCAUAUGCUUCUCUUAUACCAUGGAUCUAAUGGGAACAAUAUACCUUGUUGGGCGUUCCUUGUUUACUUUGGAUAGAUUUUGAAAGGAAGAGUCAUGUCUUUAUAGAAGUGAUCAUUCUUUGGGGGAGGUUGGGGUGGAAGGGGAAGGUUUGGGUUUGGGAGUUUUAAGUGUUCUUUUCUUUUUGAUCAUGAACGGAUUCUUAUCGACGACUUUCUAUAAGUGAUUAGGGAUUUUAUUCCUUUCUCUAAAGGUGAUGUGUGGAGGUGGUGUCAUGUCAAGGAUGACUUAUGUUACGUGGCUUCGGUUUUUUCAUGUCUCUUAGGUUGCGAGAUCCCUCUUGAUCUUCAUAUCACUUCUAUGGAGUUGGCUUGUCCUUCCUAGCAUCCGGAGUAGUUGAGAACCCUUUAAAGUUAUGGUUUUUUCCGAGCAACUUCUUCAAGAUAGGAUUCCCAUAUAAGAGAACCCGCUUAAAAGGGGAGUCCCCUUUGUCUCGGGGUCUUUUUCUUUUCCCUUCUGUUCAACGGCUCCUAAGUCAUCCUCUCACCUCUUUGUGACAUGUGAGUGAGUUAUUUCUGUUUUCUAUAAUAUCUUCAGUUGGUUGGAGUGGUGUGUAGCUUUAUCGAGAGAUCUUCUAACCCUUUUCCAUAUGUUUUUCCUCUCGAUGAAUUGUCUAGGACUAGAUGAAUUUUUUAUGAUUUGUCAUGUGAUUUGAUUUAUUUGGAAAUCUCAGAAUGAUAAGAUUUUUUCAAACUCAACAGUGACAAUGAAACAUGUGGAAGAUACGAGUAUCCUCUUGGUUUGAAAAUGAUAUUUUGAUAGAUUGUGAGCAAUUUUUGUAGUUUCUUUGCCUGACUUGAGAUUCCUAUUAUGCACCCUAGCCAAUAGCGGCUUAAGAGUCUUCAGCCUCCUUUAGAUGUCUUUUGAGAAGUUUGGUACCGACUUCUACUAGUCCUGACUUAGAGAGCUCUAACAACCACCCUAUUCUUACGAUCAUUAAUGUGCUUUGUUCUAGGAUUGUUUUUCACCCUCUUGAUAUUAGAUGCUCGAAACAUUUUUAUUUUUUUUAUGUGCCAAAGUUAGGUACACCUUGUGUCGUUGUUCAUUCUAUUUGUAUGUAAUUUAUGUCAUUUUACCAUUAUAUUUAUAUAUUCUAUUUACCUUUAAAAA
rnacentral:lncRNA from 1 species